AGUGCCGGUUGUGCAAUUUUGAAAGCCCAGAAAUGACAGAGAAAUCCGAAUCAUUGGAUAUCGAAGCCAAAGCUCUUAAAAAGCGGACCCUCUUGCGCAAAGCCUUAAUUGCUGCUGUUGUCUUCGCUGUUCUUAUCAGUCUUUUUGCCGGGGGAUUAGUCGUUAAUAAUAAUGUGUCCUUUGUCAACGAUACGACUUUUUCGACUCGGCUUGAUGAGUCAAUCAAAGAGGCCCAGGAGUGGAUUAAGAGAAACGAAUUCGAUAUUCUGGCCAGGAGAAAUGCCGCGCUGAUACGGAUGCUUAAGG
rnacentral:rRNA from 1 species